GACGAACGCUGGCGGCGUGCCUAACACAUGCGAGUCGAACGGAGUUGACCUUCGGGUUAACUUAGUGGCGAACGGGUGAGUAACGCGUGAGAAACCUGCCUUUCAGUGGGGGACAACAGUUGGAAACGACUGCUAAUACCGCAUAAUGUCAUUUGGGGGCAUCCCCGAAUGACCAAAGAUUUAUUGCUGAAAGAUGGUCUCGCGUCUGAUUAGCUAGAUGGCGGGGUAACGGCCCACCAUGGCGACGAUCAGUAGCCGGUCUGAGAGGAUGAACGGCCACAUUGGGACUGAGAUACGGCCCAGACUCCUACGGGAGGCAGCAGUGGGGAAUAUUGGGCAAUGGGCGAAAGCCUGACCCAGCAACGCCGCGUGAAGGAAGAAGGCCUUCGGGUUGUAAACUUCUUUUACCAGGGACGAAAAUUUGACGGUACCUGGAGAAAAAGCAACGGCUAACUACGUGCCAGCCGCCGCGGUAAGAC
rnacentral:rRNA from 1 species